rnacentral:rRNA from 1 species
ACGAACGCUGGCGGCGUGCUUAACACAUGCAAGUCGAACGGAAAGGCCCUGCUUUUGUGGGGUGCUCGAGUGGCGAACGGGUGAGUAACACGUGAGUAACCUGCCCUUGACUUUGGGAUAACUUCAGGAAACUGGGGCUAAUACCGGAUAGGAGCUCCUGCUGCAUGGUGGGGGUUGGAAAGUUUCGGCGGUUGGGGAUGGACUCGCGGCUUAUCAGCUUGUUGGUGGGGUAGUGGCUUACCAAGGCUUUGACGGGUAGCCGGCCUGAGAGGGUGACCGGGCAAAUUGGGACUGGGGUACGGCCCAGAGCCCUACGGGAGGCAGCAGUGGGGAGUAUUGCGCAAUGGGCGGAAGCCUGAUGCAGCAACGCCGCGGGCGGGAUGACGGCCUUCGGGUUGUAAACCGCUGUCGCCUGUGACGAAGCGUGAGUGGCGGUAAUGGGUAAAGAAGCACCGGCUAACUACGUG